UAGUCCACGCCGUAAACGAUGGAUACUAGAUGUCGGAGGACUUACCCCUUCGGUGUUGCAGCUAACGCAUUAAGUAUCCCGCCUGGGGACUACGGUCGCAAGAUUAAAACUCAAAGAAAUUGACGGGGGCCCGCACAAGCGGUGGAGUAUGUUGUUUAAUUCGAGGCAACGCGAAAAACCUUACCUGGACUUGACAUCCCUCGCAAACCUGUGAAAGCAGGCGUUCCCUUCGGGGACGAGGUGGCAGGUGCUGCAUGGCUGUCGUCAGCUCGUGUCGUGAGAUGUUGGGUUAAGUCCCGCAACGAGCGCAACCCUUGUCAUCAGUUGCCAGCAUUAAGUUGGGUACUUUGAUGAGACCGCUAGCCGAUAAGGCAGAGGAAGAUGGGGAUGACGUCAAGUCAGCAUGGCCCUUACGUCCAGGGCUACAAACGUACUACAAUGGCCAGUACAGAGCGUCGCAACACUGUGAAGUGAAGCUAAUCGCAGAAAGCUAGGUCUCAGUUCGGAUUG
rnacentral:rRNA from 1 species